rnacentral:rRNA from 1 species
GUUUGAUCAUGGCUCAGAACGAACGCUGGCGGCGUGCCUAACACAUGCAAGUCGAACGAGAAAGGGGCUUCGGCUCCGAGUAAAGUGGCGCACGGGUGAGUAACACGUAGGUAACCUGCCUCUAAGAUUGGGAUAACUUGUCGAAAGACGAGCUAAUACCAAAUAAGACCACGGUUUCCUCGGGGACAGGGGUCAAAGGUAGCCUCUAUUUAUAAGCUAUCGCUGAGAGAUGGGCCUGCGUACCAUUAGCUAAUUGGUGAGGUAACGGCUCACCAAGGCAAAGAUGGUUAGCUGGUCUGAGAGGAUGAUCAGCCACACUGGAACUGAGACACGGUCCAGACUCCUACGGGAGGCAGCAGUGGGGAAUAUUGCGCAAUGGGCGAAAGCCUGACGCAGCAACGCCGCGUUAGUUAUGAAGGCCUUCGGGUCCUAAAGCUCUGUCNGAGGGAACGAAUGCUCCAGAGGUUAACAGCCUCCGGAGGUUACGGUACCCUCAAAGGAAGCACC